ensembl:lncRNA
CUCCCCCGGGGCCAUGGGGUCCAGGCCCUUCCCCUGCCCAGCCCUUGCUUUGGGCUCCCCUGGUCUGUUUGUCCCCUCACAGCACAGGACCCAGGCUGAUCAGUGGGCCCCAGGUGGCGGUGAGUCAGCCCCAAGACUGACAUGUGAGGGCUGUGCGCUGACACAGCGGCUCCUUUAGGGAGUGUGUGUAUGUGAGUGUGUGUGUGUGUUCCUCUCCCACAAGCCUUUGGGCAAAGUGGAAGCACAACCUGGGUACCCACACCUGGGCCUUAGUCUCCCUCCCCUACCUCUGCUGUCCCCAGCCCAGCUCUCCCCAGAGGAUGCUUAUUCCCAUUCGAGGCCCAUGCUGUGACACAUCCCUCUGCCACCAAAUUCAGCAACUCACAAAUAUUUCUUCAUGCAGGUGGGGCCCUGUGCUGGGGCCCAGAGCUAAAUUCAUCCCUGUCCCUGGUCUGGAGGGUCUAAGACCCUGGUAGAGGGACAGAUCCAAACUCAGGCACAGGCCACCCCACCUUUGGCCCCAGGUGUGGGGCCUGAGAAGAACCACAGCGCGGGCUGGAAGGUGAGCAGGUGGUGUCGUCCUGCGGGCGGAGGGGGACAGGCCGUCCUGGAAGGAACGGCCCAGCAAAGGCACGGAGAACGGGAGUGGAACCGGGGGUGGAGGGCGAGCUAAGGCCGGAUCAGGGGGCGCCAGGAAUACCCGGCUGUGGAGUUCGGCUUGACUUUGUGGGGGCACAGGGGUGCCGGGAAAGGUUUUGGGCGGAGACUGGCUUCAUGUGCUCUUGAGAAAGCUCCAGGGGGUGGGCAGAGCCAGAACCGCGGGAGAGGGUGGGCGGGGGUCGUCCCGGGGCGGAGGCUCCGUGCCCUGGGCGGGGCGAGGGAGCAGGCGUGCAAGACGCGUCGGAUUGACAGAGCUUCUGACCAAUGGGAUGGGAGCGGGGGCGGGGGCGGUGAGAGGACCCGCAAGGGCCCGGGAAAACUCCGCCCCGCAGCUCAACGCCCCUCUCACCUGCCGCCAGGUGAAGGGUGGAACCCCUGCUGCCAGGCUGAGCACUGGGAUUCCUCACUGGACUCUUUUGCUGUCCGUAAGCCCGGGUGAUGCGUUCUCUGGAGGCCUUCAAGGUGCAGGAGGUGAGGGAAGGCUGCCGGGUUCCGCGAAGUUUUGUGGGUAAAUCCGCUUAUAGAAGACACAGCCGGAUUGUUCUCUGGGGGCACAUCAGGAUGGGUGCCUCCAGGAUGCAAGGACACUAUCAAGUUUGAAUAUUGGUGGGGUGGGUGAGAGGAGGGGGUUGAGGGUCCUUGGUGGGGUGGUGAGGGGAGGGGGGUUGGGGGUGCUUGGUGGGGUGGGUGAGAGGAGGGGGGUUGGGGGUGAUUGGUGGGGUGGGUGAGAGAAGGGGUUGGGGGUGCUUGGUGGGGUGGGUGAGAGGAGGGGGCUUGGAGGGUUGCAACUUCCUGACAAGAUGGCCGCCGCUCCAUCCCUAAAUCGCCCCUGGAGAAACCAUAGGACCUUCCAGGAAGCAUGGAAUUCUAGGAACUAACAAAAAUAGGCUGGGGCACAGGGUGGUGGGAGUUGGGGGAGUUAAAAGUGAGCUGCUGGGUUGGCAGAGGGCACUUGCCUCGUCACCUGGGGCCUUGGACAAUGGAUCAUGGCGGGUCCCCCAUCUCUGCAUCACCUCGGGGGCUUCUCCACACCUUUGGGCAGCAGCUGGAGGGAAAGAAUGACCUGUUGAUUGGGAGGCUCUCCCAAGGAUAGGCAGGGAGCAUUGUCCCCU